AGGGUGUAAACGCUGCAGGCUUGGUGUUGGGGGUCCUUUGAGGGCGCCCAGUGCCGGAGAGAAGUUGUUAAGCCUGCUGCUUGGGGAGUACGUCCGCAAGGAUGAAACUUAAAGGAAUUGGCGGGGGAGCACCACAACGGGUGGAGCCUGCGGUUUAAUUGGACUCAACGCCGAAAAACUCACCAGGAGCGACGGAUAUAUGAAGGUCAAGCUGAUGACUUUACCUGAUUUUCCGAGAGGAGGUGCAUGGCGUAGUCGUGU
rnacentral:rRNA from 1 species